UCGCUCUCUCUCUCUCUCUUCCUUCCCCUUUCUUCAGUUCUCUCUCCUCUCCCUCCCAAAUUCAACACUUCUCCGUCAACAGAAUCCCGCAAUUUUGCCAUUUUUCUCCCACUUUCUAACGGAUCUCUUCACAACUAUCUCCCUUAAAUCCAUCCUUCGUCGCUUGUUUUCUCCCAUUUUGGUCCUUUUCUAGGGUUUAUCCCCAUAGAUCUAGCUCUAUUUUACUCCAAUUCCACUCCUCCACUGCCUACUAUGCUCAUUUUUAGCUCUCUAUGUGUGCAAUUUACUGUUAG
rnacentral:misc_RNA from 1 species